rnacentral:rRNA from 1 species
AACGCGAAGAACCUUACCUACUCUUGACAUCUCUGGAAUCCUGCUGAAAGGCGGGAGUGCCGAAAGGAAUCAGAAGACAGGUGCUGCAUGGCUGUCGUCAGCUCGUGUUGUGAGAUGUUGGGUUAAGUCCCGUAACGAGCGCAACCCCUGUCCUUAGUUGCUAACAUGUCAUGGUGAGCACUCUAAGGAGACUGCCGGUGAUGAACCGGAGGAAGGCGGGGAUGACGUCAAGUCAUCAUGGCCUUUAUGAGUAGGGCUACACACGUGCUACAAUGGUGCAUACAGAGGGUAGCCAACCCGCGAGGGGGAGCCAAUCUCAAAAAGUGCAUCGUAGUCCGGAUUGGAGUCUGCAACCCGACUCCAUGAAGUCGGAAUCGCUAGUAAUCGCGAAUCAGAACGUCGCGGUGAAUACGUUCCCGGGCCUUGUACACACCGCACGA